rnacentral:piRNA from 1 species
CAGGGCACCCAGGGAGACGUGGCCUCCUU